CCUACGGGUGGCAGCAGUGGGGAAUAUUGGACAAUGGGCGAAAGCCUGAUCCAGCAAUGCCGCGUGUGUGAAGAAGGCCUUCGGGUUGUAAAGCACUUUCAGUGGGGAAGAAAGCCUUGGGGCUAAUACCCUCGAGGAAGGACAUCACCCAACGAAGAAGCACCGGCUAACUCCGUGCCAGCAGCCGCGGUAAUACGGAGGGUGCGAGCGUUAAUCGGAAUUACUGGGCGUAAAGCGCGCGUAGGCGGUCUGAUAAGCCGGUUGUGAAAGCCCCGGGCUCAACCUGGGAACGGCAUCCGGAACUGUCAGGCUAGAGUGCAGGAGAGGAAGGUAGAAUUCCCGGUGUAGCGGUGAAAUGCGUAGAGAUCGGGAGGAAUACCAGUGGCGAAGGCGGCCUUCUGGACUGACACUGACGCUGAGGUGCGAAAGCGUGGGUAGCAAACAGGAUUAGAUACCCCGGUAGUC
rnacentral:rRNA from 1 species